rnacentral:lncRNA from 1 species
GUCAGAGGUCAGUGUGGGGGAGGGGAUUUUUGGGGGUUUGGGAUGAAGAUGAUGAAGAGAAAGACGGAGAUGAAGAUCAGGAUGAAGAGGAAAAUGAUGAAGAUGAGGAUGAAGGUGAUGAAGGCUCACCAGUAGAAGACACAGAUAAACACAAAGAUGAAGAUGAGGAUGAAGAUGAGGAUGAAGAUGAAGAUGAAGAUGAAGAUGAAGACGAGGAUGAAGAUGAGGAUGAAGAUGAAGAUGAGGAUGAUGAAGACAAAGAUGAAGAUGAAGAUGAAGAUGAGGAUGAAGAUGAGGAUGAAGAGGAGGAUGAAGAUGAGGAUGAAGGUGACGAAGGCUCACCAGUAGAAGACGCAGACACAGACAAAGAUGAAGAUGAGGAUGAAGAUGAGGAUGAAGAUGAGGACGAAGGUGAUGAAGGCUCACCAGUAGAAGAUGCAGAUAAAGACAAAGACAAAGAUAAAGAUGAAGAUGAGGAUGAAGAUGAGGAUGAAGAUGAGGAUGAAGGUGACGAAGGCUCACCAGUAGAAGACGCAGGCCAGCUCCAUCCAGCUGAGGGCGCUCCGGUCCUGCCGCAGCCACCGCAGCCCCUCCUGGGCGAAG